AUUGACCGCUGGCGGCAGGCCUAACACAUGCAAGUCGAGCGAGCGGCGGACGGGCGAGUAAUGUAUGGGGACUGCCCGAUAGAGGGGUAUAACUACUGGAAACGGUCGCUACUACCGCUUACUCUCGGCUAACCCAUAUUGGAGUAGCUAGUAUGUGAGGUAAUGGCUCACCUAGGCGACGAUCCCUAGCUGGUCUGAGAGGAUGAUCAGCCACACAGGGACAGAGACACGGCCCAGACUCCGACGGAGGCAGCAGUGGGGAAGAUUGCACAAUGGGCGCAAGCCUGAUGCAGCCAUGCCGCGUGUAUGAAGAAGGCACUAGGGUUGUAAAGUACUUUCAGUCGGGAGGCGUUACCGACAGAAGAAGCACCGGCUAACUCCGUGCCAGCAGCCGGGGUAAUUC
rnacentral:rRNA from 1 species